UACGUAGGUGGCAAGCGUUGUCCGGAUUUAUUGGGCGUAAAGCGCGCGCAGGUGGUGCGGUACGUCUGCCGUGAAAUCUCCCGGCUCAACUGGGAGGGGGCGGUGGAGACUGCCGGACUGGAGGGACUCAGAGGCCGGUGGAAUUCCCGGUGUAGUGGUGAAAUGCGUAGAGAUCGGGAGGAACACCAGUGGCGAAGGCGGCCGGCUGGGGGUGCCCUGACGCUGAGGCGCGAAAGCGUGGGGAGCGAACCGG
rnacentral:rRNA from 1 species